rnacentral:lncRNA from 1 species
GUCCUCAGGUGGUAACUCUUCAAGGUGCUCAUCAGUAAGAGUGCUCAUCUCUUCAAUGUAGAAGGCUUGCCCGAACACAGUUGGUUUCUUCAUUUUCUCCUUAAUGUCAAAGUGGAGAACGUGCCCUUUACCCAAAUGGAGAUCAAUCGUGCCCUCUUUCACCAUAACAAUUGCUCCUGCUGUAGCUAAGAAUGGCCUUCCAAGAAUCAAU